AACGCUGGCGGCGUGCGUAACACAUGCAAGUCGAACGAGAAUGUACUGACGGAUCCUUAGGGCGAAGAUAGUACAGGACAGUGGCGGAUGGGUGGGUAACGCGUAAGAAACCUGCCUUUCACACCGGGAUAGCAGCUGGAAACGGCUAUUAAUACCGGAUGACACUUUUUCCCCGCAUGAGGAAGAGGUUAAAGAAUUUCGGUGAAAGAUGGUCUUGCGUCUGAUUAGCUAGUUGGUGGGGUAACGGCCUACCAAGGCGACGAUCAGUAGCCGGCCUGAGAGGGUGUACGGCCACAUUGGGACUGAGACACGGCCCAAACUCCUACGGGAGGCAGCAGUGGGGAAUUUUGCACAAUGGAGGAAACUCUGAUGCAGCGACGCCGCGUGAACGAAGAAGGUCUUCGGAUUGUAAAGUUCUGUCCUGGGUGAAGAUAAUGACGGUAACUCAGGAGGAAGCCCCGGCUAACUACGUGCCAGCCGCCGCGGUAA
rnacentral:rRNA from 2 species